rnacentral:rRNA from 1 species
CAAUAGCGUAUAUUUAAGUUGUUGCAGUUAAAAAGCUCGUAGUUGGAUUUUGGCUGAGAACGAUCGGUCCGCCGUUAGGUGUGCACUGAUUGGUCUCAGCUUCCUGGUGAGGAGGUGUGCUUCACGGCCACUUAGUCACCGUGGUUACUUUGAAAAAAUUAGAGUGUUCAAAGCGGGCUUACGCUUGAAUAUAUUAGCAUGGAAUAACACCAUAGGACUCCUGUCCUAUUUCGUUGGUCUCGGGACGGGAGUAAUGAUUAAGAGGAACAGUUGGGGGCAUUCGUAUUUCAUUGUCAGAGGUGAAAUUCUUGGAUUUAUGAAAGACGAACUUCUGCGAAAGCAUUUGCCAAGGAUGUUUUCAUUGA